CGUGGACCAGUGGGGUCCCUCGGCCUGGCCUGUGCCCUCUCGCAAUCUGGGAUGCCUCGGGGGAUGUCAGAGAGCUGGUUUUGGCCCGAUCCCGCAGGCCAGGCCGAGGGACCCUACUGGUGCACA
rnacentral:pre_miRNA from 1 species